rnacentral:rRNA from 1 species
UACGGGGGGGGCAAGCGUUGUUCGGAAUUACUGGGCGUAAAGGGUCUGUAGGUGGCUUGCUAAGUCAGACGUGAAAUCCCUCAGCUUAACUGGGGAACUGCGUCUGAGACUGGUGAGCUCGAGUGCAGGAGAGGAAUGCGGAAUUCCAGGUGUAGCGGUGAAAUGCGUAGAUAUCUGGAGGAACACCGGUGGCGAAGGCGGCAUUCUGGACUGCAACUGACACUGAAAGACGAAAGCCAGGGGAGCAAACGGG